GACGAACGCUGGCGGCGUGCUUAACACAUGCAAGUCGAACGGAAAGGCCCUGCUUUUGUGGGGUGCUCGAGUGGCGAACGGGUGAGUAACACGUGAGUAACCUGCCCUUGACUUUGGGAUAACUUCAGGAAACUGGGGCUAAUACCGGAUAGGAGCUCCUGCUGCAUGGUGGGGGUUGGAAAGUUUCGGCGGUCGGGGAUGGACUCGCGGCUUAUCAGCUUGUUGGUGGGGUAGUGGCUUACCAAGGCUUUGACGGGUAGCCGGCCUGAGAGGGGGACCGGCCACAUUGGGACUGAGAUACGGCCCAGACUCCUACGGGAGGCAGCAGUGGGGAAUAUUGCACAAUGGGCGGAAGCCUGAUGCAGCAACGCCGCGUGCGGGAUGACGGCCUUCGGGUUGUAAACCGCUUUCGCCUGUGACGAAGCGUGAGUGACGGUAAUGGGUAAAGAAGCACCGGCUAACUACGUG
rnacentral:rRNA from 1 species